rnacentral:rRNA from 1 species
GCAUAACGCGAAGAACCUUACCCACCUUUGACAUGUACGGAAUCCUUUAGAGAUAGAGGAGUGCUCGAAAGAGAGCCGUAACACAGGUGCUGCAUGGCUGUCGUCAGCUCGUGUCGUGAGAUGUUGGGUUAAGUCCCGCAACGAGCGCAACCCUUGUCGUUAAUUGCCAUCAUUUGGUUGGGCACUUUAACGAGACUGCCGGUGACAAACCGGAGGAAGGUGGGGAUGACGUCAAGUCCUCAUGGCCCUUAUGGGUAGGGCUUCACACGUCAUACAAUGGUCGGUACAGAGGGUUGCGAAGCCGCGAGGUGGAGCCAAUCCCAGAAAGCCGAUCGUAGUCCGGAUUGGAGGCUGCAACUCGUCUCCAUGAAGUCGGAAUCGCUAGUAAUCGCGGAUCAGCAUGUCGCGGUGAAUACGUUCCCGGGUCUUGUACACACCG